ACCAAAUGGAACAGAUGAGUUUGGUACUUUGCAAAGUGCACAAGCUGCUACUGAACUAGACUCACUGUUAAGGGGGAGGGAGUAGCUAACUGGGGCCAUUCUUGUUCCCUCCUGCAGGAAUUCCAGACUGACUCUGACAGGGAAAUUGCAAGAGAGCCAGUCAUAUUUCAGGGCGAUGAAAAAUUAUUGGGAGCAAAAAAGGACAGGAAAAAAAGAAGCACAAGCCAUGUAGCAUGGAUACACUGAGACAGAGAGGAAGGCCAGAGCCUCCUUGUCUUCCAAGCUCUAAAGUUUCUCGGGGGAAGGGCAGGAGCCUCAGGGGAUGUGUCUUUAGGUGAUCUCACAUCAGCAUUUUGUGACUUUUUUUUCAGUCUGGUAGGCAGGCAGUGCUGGUGCUUCUGUCUCUGCCUCUGUCCCUUCUGGCUUCCUCCAUGAUGCAGAGGGAGGGGUGCUGCUUUCCCUAAGCUGCCCUCCAACACACACCUCUACCAGGAUAAAGUAACUGAAAUUAAUGGGACUCCUGGAGGAAAUCCAGGACUCAGGAAUAAAUCUUAUUAUACAGAUGAGUGGCUGAUCAAGAUGACAGGGAGUAAUCCUUCAGAUCUAAUGAGUGAGGAAGCAUAUGAAAAAUACAUGAACUUGUGGGAGUAGAGGAAUAAUGGUUAUGCAAAGAGUCCCUCAUGCCUGAGGCUCCAAAGUCCCAGGUUCAAUCCCCUGUAUCACCAUAAAGCAGGUCUGAGCAGUGCUGUAGUAAGUAAUAAUAAUACCUAAACUCUAUCAAGGAGGGUGGGUUAGAUAGCAUUAUGGUUAUGAAAACAGACUGUUAAGCCUAAAGCUCCAAAGCCCCAGGUUCAGUCCUCCUCACCACCAUAAGGCAGGGCUGAUCAGUGCUCUGGUAAAAAAAAAAAAAAAAAAAAAAAAAAGUAAAAGACAAAAUCUAUCAAAGAAUAAAAAUAGAAUCCUUAAGCUAGUAUGAAACAACUUAAUCUAGCACAGUUGCUUUAAAUUAAUCAUAGAUAUAAGAACUUCUAAGAAUAGCAAUAGGAUAAAUUACUUACAGCAAUACUUCUGGGUUAAACUACCCCUUAACUUAUUAACUAUUGCAUGAGUAUGACAUAGUUCUUUUUUUUACAUAAUACACUUUCCAUAAUACCCAUUUAUAUAUAGGCCAGUCUUCAGGUAUAAUAUCUAAUUUUAUGAGAAUGUCUAGCUAAAAAUCAUGUAAUUCUAAGACAGCACUAAUAUCUUAAUUCAUUAUAAUGUAAAUGCUCACAGCCAUCCCUGGUCACAGUACUUACUGAUAUUUACUCGAAAUAACUGGCAGUGAAGAAGUAGUAGUUGCAUAGCCCCAGACCAAAAAUAUUGUCUAAUGUGUUUGAUGGUACUACUUUAAAAAAAAUAUAUUUAGUAAUGAGGAAGGAGGAGAGAGAGAAAGAGCUGGUACAUAUUGAAUUGAACUCAGGACCUCAUGCUUGAGAACCCAAUGCUUUAUCCACAGAGCCACCUCCUGGACCACUGAUGGUACUAUUUUUAUAUUAUGAAGCAAUAGUUUUGCUGGAAAACAAGAAUUCCUGUUUCUCUCCUUAAGGAGCUGCUCAUGGAAAGAUGACUCUGACCAGCAAAAGAAUGCUGCUGAGAGCCUGGAGCCAUGCACGGAGUGGUCCUGCUGGUGGGAUGGUGCCAUAGACUACUGAGAGGAUACUGCAGAGUCUGGAGAACUGAGAAGAUGGUGGGUGCAGGUCCUGAAGACAGAGGUCUGAGCAGGCUGCUUCAAACUGACCUAGAAGUAGGGGCCGGGUGGUGGUGCACCUGGUUAAAUGCACCAGUUGCAAUGCACAAGAGCCUGGGUUUGAUCCCCUGGUCCCCAACUGCAGGGGAGAAUCUUUGUGAGUGGUGAAGCAGUUCUGCAUGUGUAUCUCUUUCUCUGUAUCACCCCCUUCCUUCUUGAUUUCUGGCUGUCUCUAUCCAAUAAAUAGAUAAUUUAGAAAUAAACAAAGUGACCUAGAUGUACCUGGAAACAGCCAGUGUCCAAGUUCUUCUGGAUGUCCUCUCUGCAGUCCUGCUUUUUGAGCCCCACCCUUAUAAACUGUGUUAUGUCCUUCUGGCCUGCUCUGCUCCCACAGGGGGAUCCCAAUAUCUGAUUGCUCACAACUGGGUUUUCCGUGGGGUACUACCUGCUUUACCAUGGGACCAAGCACCUGGGGGCCCAGCACUCUGUCCUAUUCUGAAGUCACGUUAAAUAGUUAUUAGGAAACUUAUUAAUCUAAGAGGUUGGGGCUCUAAAAUGAAGCCAUGAAGAAAAUUGUUUGAGGUGCCAAUUAGUGGUGCACCCUCUUGAGGUCACAUGAUCCAGUGUGCAAGGACUCAGGCUCCAGCAGGAGCAAAGCUUCUUGAGUGGUGAGAUAGUGUUGCAGGUAUUUCUUGAGUCUCUAUCUACCUCCCUCUUCCCUCUCAAUUUCUGGCUUUAUCAAAUCAAUAAAUAGAAAUAAUUUUAAAACAGAGAUAUAUACAUUUGAAAUAUAUUUCUUCUUUCUUCCUUGAUUUUUGUGUGUCUAUGUGUCUGUGUGAGACUAAGCCUUCCUUGGUCUACAUAGUGGAAAAUUUUCACUGCUCCCAAUGGACUUUUGGUUUUCAUUUUUCCUCAAUAAAGAGUAAGAGUGCUGGGGAGAUAACACAAUGGGUAUGCAAAACACUUUUGUGCCUGAGGCUCCAAAAUCCCAGGUUCAUUGCCCAGCACCAGCAGAAGCUGUAUCUCUGUUUCUCUCAUAUGAUGGUGCUGGGGAAUGAACCUGGGUAAGUGGGGGAGAUUCUCAGACAGUGGAUCUAUCCUGAAUAUGGGUGGUUGGACCUGAAGUCAGGGCCUUGUCCAUGUUGGGGGAUAAGGGAAAGGCUGGAUGGCCCUAUGCAAGGUGAUCAGGUUGGGGGUUCAGUACUGGGAGUCAGCACUCUGUAGCAUCCUGCUGUGACCCGUGAAAUGAUGAUUGCUUGGCUCUCACAGGGCCCAUGGUUUCAGUAAAUACAGAUCAAGGAAACAUGUUAUUUAUUUACUUACUUACUUAUGUAUUCCUCCAGGAUUAUCUCUGGGGCUCAGUGCCUGCCUUAUAAAUUCACUGCUCCUGGAAGCCUUUUUUUUUCCUAUUUAUUGCCCUUGUUGUUAUUGCUGUUGUUGGAUAGGACAAAGAGAAAUCAAAAGAAGGGGUAGACAGAGAGGUGGAAAUAUUACCACCUGCAUACCUGCUUCACUGCUUAUGAAGUGACCCCCCCCCCCCCCUGCAGGUGGGGAGCUUUGGGCUAGAACUCAGAUCCUUACUCCAGUGUUUGCAUUUCAUGCCAUGUGCACUUAACUCGCUGCACUGCUACUCAGCCACCAAAGAAACUUUUACUUUACUUUCCUUUGACUUUUUUUUUUUUCCCACCAGAGCACUGCUCAUCUCUGGUUUAUGGUGGUACAGGGAUUGAAUUUUGGGUUUUGGAGCCUCACGCAUGAGAGUUUCUUUGCAUAACCACUACACUAUCUAGCCCCACCCUAUUUUUUUUAGUGACUAUUAUAAUGAAUUCUGAUGCCCCAAUUAUUUUAUAUUUAUUUAUUUUCCCUUUUUGUUGCCCUUGUUUUUUUUUAUUGCUGUUGUAGUUAUUAUUUUUGUUAUUAUUGAUGUCAUUAUUGGAUAGGACAGAGAGAAAUGGAGAGAGGAGGGGAAGACAGAGAGGGGGAGAGAAAGACAGACACCUGCAGACCUGCUUCACCGCCUGUGAAGCAACUCCCCUGCAGGUGGGGAGCCAGGGGCUAGAACAGGGAUCCUUGCUAGUCCUUGCGCUUAGCACCAUGUGCACUUAAUCCAUGGCACUACCACCCAACUCCUGCCCUAAUUAUUUCUUUUUUUUUAAUUUUUUAUUUAAGAAAGGAUUAAUGAACAAAAACAUAAGGUAGGAGGGGUACAACUCCACACAAUUCCCACCACCCAAUCCCCAUAACCCACCCCCUCCCAUGAUAGCUUUCCCAUUCUCUAGCCCUCUGGGAGCAUGUUUCUAACCCUAUGCUGUUUAGGUUCUUAUUCUUUUUGUUUUUGUUAUCUUGAUUUAUUGGGUAGAGACAGCUAGAAAUCGAGAAGGUAGGGGAGAUAGAGAGGGAGAGAGAAAGAGAGACACCUGCAGCCCUGCUUCACCACUUCCAAAGCUUUCCCUCUGCAGGUGCAGACCAGGAGCUCAAACCUGGGUCCUUGAGCACUGUAACAUGUGUGCUCAACCAGGUACGCCACCACCCGGUCCCUAUAUUCUUACUCUUACACUGAUUCUAACCUGGCUUGGUAGGAAGUAGGAUGUAUUACAAAAUACAGAGAGAAAGACACAGAAAUGAAGACCAGAGCAGCACUCAUCUCUGACUUAUGGUGUUAAUGGAACCUGAGACAAUGGAACCUCAGGCAAGAAAGUCAUUUGCAUAACUGUUAUGUCAUCUUCUCAGCCCGAUAAAUUAAAAAAGUAAAUAAAUAAACAUCAACUUGAUCA